UACGGAGGGGGCCAGCGUUGUUCGGAAUCAUUGGGCGUAAAGGGCGCGUAGGCGGCCGAUCAAGUCCGACGUGAAAUCCCUCGGCUCAACCGAGGGCCUGCGUCGGAUACUGUUCGGCUUGAGUCCCGGAGAGGGUAGUGGAAUUCCCAGUGUAGCGGUGAAAUGCGUAGAUACUGGGAGGAACACCGGUGGCGAAGGCGGCUACCUGGACGGGUACUGACGCUGAGGCGCGAAAGCUAGGGGAGCAAACAGGAUUAGAUACCCUGGUAGUCCUAGCUGUAAACGAUGGGCACUUGGUGUUGCGGGUAUCGACCCCUGCAGUGCCGAAGCUAACGCAUUAAGUGCCCCGCCUGGGGAGUACGGUCGCAAGGCUGAA
rnacentral:rRNA from 1 species